GAUGAACGCUGGCGGCGUGCCUAAUACAUGCAAGUCGAGCGAACAGACGAGGAGCUUGCUCCUCUGACGUUAGCGGCGGACGGGUGUGUAACACGUGUAUAACCUACCUAUAAUACUGGUAUAACUUCGGGAAACCGGAUCUAAUACCGUAGAAUAUAUUGAACCGCAUGGUUCAAUAGUAAAAUACGGUUUUUCUGUCACUUAUAGAGGGUUCCGCGCCGUAUUAGCUAGUUGUUAAGGUAACGGCCUACCAAGGCUACGAUGCGUAGACGACGUGAGAGACUGGUCGGCCACACUGGAACUGAGACACGGUCCAGAGUACUACGGGAGGCAGCAGUCGGGAAUCUUCCGCAAAGGGCGAAAGCAUGACGGAGCAAGGCCGAGUGAGUGAUGAAGGUCUUGGGAUCGUAAAACUGUGUUAUUAGGGAAGAACAAAUGUGUACGGAAACAUGGACGUCUUGACGGUAACUAAUAAGAAAGCAACGGCUAACUACGUG
rnacentral:rRNA from 1 species